rnacentral:rRNA from 1 species
CAGUCGCCGCGGGAAUACGAACCGUGCGAACGUUAUUCGGAAUCACUGGGCUUAAAGCGCGUGUAGGCGGAUGGGAGCGUCGGCCUCUGGAAUCCCCCGGCUCAACCGGGGAAGUGGAGCCGAAACGACCCGUCUGGAGGGACGUAGGGGGACCUGGAACUUCCGGUGGAGCGGUGAAAUGCGUUGAGAUCGGAAGGAACGCCCGUGGCGAAAGCGAGGUCCUGGACGUCUGCUGACGCUGAGAUGCGAAAGCCAGGGGAGCGAACGGGAUUAGAUACCCCUGUAGUCCCUGUCUCUUAUA